AACGAACGCUGGCGGCAUGCCUAACACAUGCAAGUCGAACGAGACCUUCGGGUCUAGUGGCGCACGGGUGCGUAACGCGUGGGAACCUGCCCUUAGGUUCGGAAUAACUCAGAGAAAUUUGAGCUAAUACCGGAUAAUGUCUUCGGACCAAAGAUUUAUCGCCUUUGGAUGGGCCCGCGUAGGAUUAGCUUGUUGGUGGGGUAAUGGCCUACCAAGGCGACGAUCCUUAGCUGGUCUGAGAGGAUGAUCAGCCACACUGGGACUGAGGCACGGCCCAGACUCCUACGGGAGGCAGCAGUGGGGAAUAUUGGACAAUGGGCGAAAGCCUGAUCCAGCAAUGCCGCGUGAGUGAUGAAGGCCUUAGGGUAGUAAAGCUCUUUUACCAGGGAUGAUAAUGACAGUACCUGGAGAAUAAGCUCCGGCUAACUCCGUG
rnacentral:rRNA from 1 species